rnacentral:rRNA from 1 species
UACAGAGGUCUCAAGCGUUGUUCGGAUUCAUUGGGCGUAAGGGUGCGUAGGCGGCGCGGUAAGUCGGGUGUGAAAUCUUGGAGCUUAACUCCGAAACUGCAUUCGAUACUGCCGUGCUUGAGGACUGGAGAGGAGACUGGAAUUUACGGUGUAGCGGUGAAAUGCGUAGAUAUCGUAAGGAAGACCAGUGGCGAAGGCGGGUCUCUGGACAGUUCCUGACGCUGAAGCACGAAGGCCAGGGGAGCAAACGGGG